ACUGAAGAGACUCUGCACGGGAGUAGGUGAUUUACAAAAGAUGCAGGAAGUAAUGACAAUCAAAUCAAGAGCUAUAUACUGAAUUAUGCAUUUGUGCAACUCUGGUAUACAUCUGGAAAUGUGAGCGGCUUUUGAUCGCAAGGAAGUGGAAUAUUUUUCAUAUUCUCCAGUACACCAAUUCAACUCAGCCUCUGAAGCCCAC
rnacentral:lncRNA from 1 species